CCUACGGGAGGCAGCAGUGGGGAAUAUUGGGCAAUGGAGGAAACUCUGACCCAGCGACGCCGCGUGCGGGAUGAAGGCCUUCGGGUUGUAAACCGCUUUCAGUAGGGAAGAAGCGAAAGUGACGGUACCUACAAAAGAAGCACCGGCUAACUAUGUGCCAGCAGCCGCGGUAAUACAUAGGGUGCAAGCGUUGUCCGGAAUUAUUGGGCGUAAAGAGCUCGUAGGUCGUUUGUUACGUCGGAUGUGAAAACCUGAGGCUCAACCUCAGGCCUGCAUUCGAUACGGGCAAACUAGAGUUUGGUAGGGGAGACUGGAAUUCCUGGUGUAGCGGUGGAAUGCGCAGAUAUCAGGAGGAACACCAAUGGCGAAGGCAGGUCUCUGGGCCAAUACUGACACUGAGGGGCGAAAGUCUGGGGAGCGAACAGGAUUAGAUACCCUGGUAGUCCAGACCGUAAACGGUGGGCACUAGUUGUGGGAACCUUCCACGGUUUCUGCGACGCAGCUAACGCAUUAAGUGCCCCGCCUGGGGAGUACGAUCGCAAGAUUAAAACUCAAAGGAAUUGACGG
rnacentral:rRNA from 1 species